UAAAUUUUUAUAUUAUUAUGGCAACAGUUGGGAGCUAAAGCUUUUGCAAACUGCUAGGCUCAGGUACUCAGCUUAUUUUGACCUGAUUACUCCAGAUUUGUCAAACAGUUGAUUAUAACUUCAUGAUUAUUUUUUUCCUCCCUUCAUAGUAAUAGAAACUCUCCCUCUUCCUAUUUGGAAUUUUAGACACUAUUGUUAGUGCAGCAAAACAGCCCAGUACUUGGUAGGCCAGCAUGAGAGGAGUUCUGCUUUUAAUGGAAAGAGGUAAUGCUAUGGAAAAUGUAUCAUGUAACUGUAGCUACUCAGUGGGUAUAGAAACAAGUUACGAAUAUGAUACGCUGCACUUUUCCUUUAACCAUGCAACUAGAACUUGCUUAUAUAUUCUCCAUCUAAGUUGUCUUUUAUAAUUUGUAAUCAACAAGCUGAGCUGAGUUGAAUAGAAUUGGGCAUGCAAAAUCUUACUCACAGGCUAACUCUGAAUUGUCUGAUUCAAUACAGGAAACCAUAAUGAGUAUUUUGGUUCUUCUAAUGGUAGUUACCAGCCAUACCUGCUGUCCUGAUGGCAAAUAUUCAUGGUAGAAAGAAUCUGCAUGAGUAAGUUAGAGUGAUUCUAGCUGCCAUUCAUAAGCAUUCCUAUAGGGUUUUUUAUAGGUUGUUUCAUUUACAUUCCUCUGCUUUCUUGAAAUAAAUACUUUAAUUAUGAGGAGAAAUUUAUUUUAUUUUAUUUUUAGAAAUCAAUUUAUCUCUGGAAUUACUCUAUUUCCAUGUGGUACAUGUAUUUUGAAAUAGUAGUUCCAUGUGUUAGCUGCAGAUUUGGGCUGUUGGAAGGAUUUUUGAGGAGGAGAAUAGAAACUGCAUUUUUACCAGAGUUCUGUUUUAAGAAAUUAUUUUUAAAAGUCUGUUUCUAUGUUCUAAAAACUAGUCAAGUAUCUGCAUUGCAGAGAUAUUGCAAAGUCUGUCAACUCAGGCAGCUUUAGACCAGCAGUAUCUGUCUAGGACUUGGAUGAAUUUGUAGUCUAAGAGUCAAAAUCUUGUUCUGCCAUCGACAGCUCAAUGUGCUUUGUGCAAAUGAUUAGAGGGCUGGUGUGGGGUAAAACAGUACAGGACAGCAGACCUGAAACCUUCCUUCUCUAUGCUGAACAGCUCCAUCACUUACUAAUAGGUUGUAUUUACGUUUAAGCGCUACAUUGACAAUUUAUUUCCAAUAGCUGUGGUGAGAGGUUUUCCUGGUGUCCCAUCAAGGCUCUUUCACUAGCCCUGAAGUCACAUUUUGAUGCCACGUUGUUUAAAAACAUCUAUCUUUGUGUACACAGGCAGAGAGAGGGUGAAGGCUAGCCCGCUUUGGGAGCUUUUGGCACCUUUAUAUUAAUCCACUGUUUCACUGAUGGAGAAGCUGGCCAACCACGGAGGAGGGAAGCAGUGACCGCUGUGUCGGUGUUAGGCCAGUGAACGCCGGCCAGAAGCCACCCUUUGGCUGUGCUCCUGGGGUGACUUGCCUUGCUUCCCAGCUGUCAGGGGGGCACCCUCUUAUUUCAGUACACCUUCUCCUGCCACCUUCCCAGGCAGUCUCCUCCUUUUAAAAUACAGUACGUUUUCACCAAAAAACAGCGUUCCCAGGAUGGUCUCGUAUUGUUUGUGUUACAAAGAGCUCCACUCUGGAAUGUGCUCCCCUCCCAAAUGUGCAUAUCUCCUCCAGUGUCAGCUUUUACUGUGAAAACAAAAGCAGAUGUUCUUGCCCAUUUCAGAUGGCUUUGUGCAAGAGAAGGCAUGGAGGCAUUCCCGUACUGGAACGGACAUUACCCAUCAAUUUUGAUAGCUUCUUUGAUACUGGCCACCCCGGUGUCCCUGCGCCGGCUCUGCCCCGGCUCCUGCUGGUGAUCCCAGACACCUGUGUGACUCUCUGAUCCCACACAGGAGGUCUGCAGCAGAAAUGGGACUCGCAUUUCCUGUGUCCUGACCACAAGGCCAUCUGCCAGUUCAUUAAAAUGUUUCAAGAAUAACAGCCUCCUCCAAUCCUUCCCACCUCAUAAUAUCUGCAGCAAAUGUUCCCCUUUUUUGAUGUAUCUCAUUCCUUGCAGUGUGGCUAAUGACCACUCUAGGGCACUUCUCACUCCCUAUAAAGCUGCUUUCAACUGUUUUGGGUUUUGUUCCUUAUUUACUGCUGCCUGUUAUCCCUUCCUCUUGCCCUCUCCAGUGUAUAAAUGCGUAGAUUUUCAUGUUACCUAGCCUCAGAGGACUGAAGGCUGCUGUCAGCCUUGCUUUGCUAAGCUUUGUGUGAGCAGAGAAUUACAGGGCACUGCCCAAGAGUGCUGGUAAUGCUGCUGUGUUUGCGUGGCCCUUCCAGGAGCUGUGCUUUCCAGGUCCAUAACCCCAUCCCUGUAACAGCCUGGGGGGACAGCUCUGAAGUAUGGCAAACCUUAGGAAAACUGCUCUGUUGGAGAUUUUUUUUUUUGGUUGUUGUCUUUCUAGAAGUGAACAUAACUAUGUAGACAAGGCGAGAGGAGGCAGUGUGUGCUUUGCUUACUGUAUGGGUAACCAAAAGUUGUGGAAUAAUGGUUUUCUUUGUAAGGUGGGAGUGCUGCUUCAGAACUAUGCUAAGCUGACUUUGAGCUGAUGCUUACAUAGAUCUUGUAUUCAAGCUAAGGAAUUUACUCCUGUUGAAAUACACACGUGAACUGCGGAAGUUGUGUAUGAAACUUAUUCCAUCUGCAAUCUGGUCACAUUUGUUCAACUGGAGAACAGAAUCAGUUCGUGUAAACUCUAUGCCCAAUAAAAACUAAGGACUAGGGCUCAAAUUUCAAAUGUGAAAUAAUUGGAACUAACAGGCUGUGAAUGAUUCAAAAGCAGAGAAGUCUCUGUAGGACUAUUCAGUUAAUAUGUUGAAUAAUGAAUGCGCUGAAAAAAAAUCACAGCUUUCCAUAGAAAAUUUACAGACAGGAAAACAAGGCAUUUUUUUCUGAAUAAAUGACUGCUCAGUUCUAGUGUCAGUCUAACAUUUUAACUCACUAAAUUUAUACAUGCAAGUGUCGUUUACUGAAAUGCACGUAUUUAAAGAAAACAAGGAUAUGAAUAAAAUUGUGUAAUGUUUUAUAAGGAGUAUGAAUAGAUUAAAACAAAUUAGUAUGAAGGGAAAAUUAUUAUAUGUAAUAAUGUGGCUCUUCAUUUUAAAAAUAUGUUUUUAAUGAGUCUCAGUUCAAUUCCUCUCUAUAUUUUUUGUGGUGAAUUUAUUUCUGUGAAGUGUCAUAUGGAUGAGCAAUACAAUUUUAAAAUGCCUGCCUCUGAAUGAUAUUCCUAUGAAAUGUUCCUGAUCUUUGACCUACUAGAGUUAUAUUGCAGCAAUUAUUAUGUAUUAAUGUAGGAGAAAUUUUACCAUUAUAUUUAGAUUAAUUUUGAAUUGGUUUGUACUACAUCUGUAAUUUGAGUUCCAGUGUGUAAUAAAAUUUCCUUAAUUAUGAAGAGCAAGAGAAUUGCCAUCAGAGGCCUAUCACAAAGCAGAAGGUCAUUCAGAUGGCCCUAGCGAACUAGACACAGGCUGUGCAUGUCACUGCACCAUGCCUCUCUCUGUAACCCCCUUUCUGAAAACCAGGAGUGACUUUCUGGCAGUAGGACUAAGAGCACGGCCAGGUUGAUGCUUUGUUGCUGGGCGAUGUUCAGGGAACAUCCCUGGAAAAAAGGAAAGUGGUCCUGUGAGAGGUCACAGAGUAUCUCCUUACUGUCUGUUUUGACUUCCCCUCUUCCCAUCAGUGGAUGGUGCCUCUUUGGACUGUAUAUGCUCUGGACACUUUGGUUGUUUUUCAGUUAAUUCACUGGCUACAGCCUUCUCCAUAAUAUAAUUAGUGCUGUUCGGUGCCAUGCUGAGGAGAGGGCCUUUAGAGACUGAUCCCUUAACAGUCCUUGGAAUCCUUUUUGAAGUCCUUUUAUCCAAUUUUCCAACACCACAGUAUUUAAUUAAAUAAGAAAAAAAAAUCAAAUGUCAAUGCAAUUUUACCAUUUGGCAGUACACUGGUGUGAUAUCAAGCUGAGAGGAUGGUGUGAAGGCUGAGCUGGGACAACAUGAAACCCUGCAGCAUGAUGCUGUGGGAAGUCAGAAGGGAAAAACAACUCUUAUGUCUAGGAUAUCAGACUGGUGUCCUAGUAGAAAGCCCUUAUAUCCUUUGCUUUUCUUUACAAUUUUCCAACGCCAAGAUAAAUGAGAGAUUUUGGUACAAUAGAAGGGUGUCAGUGCACCCGUUUCAAUGAUCUAUGCAAUAUUUUAAUCAUCCCAGGUAUUCUAUUGGCUUUUGUGUAUGGGUAGAGCAUAGCUGUUUUCCCCUAGCUUUAGUAAAAACACUUUCACAUUUUUAAAUCCUGAGAACAAAGUGCUUUGCAUCCUGUGUUGUUUGUUUUUUUUCCCUCAAGCUGGUAUGUGCUGUACCCUUGUCAUCUCUGGAGAUAUCAGUCUGACUGUGCUUCAGAUAGACUAUUUGAUUUGUGAUGGUAAAGGACCAGGCUGAAGCCCAGGGCUUGGCCAAAGUAGGUCAUGUCGAGUUCAUGCCUAUCGUGUAUUCAAAAGCCAUAAACGUUUCUCAGAAAGCCUAUCCCUCGGAAAGAUUCCUCCAAGAUAACAUAUGUUUGAGAGAGGGUUUUGUGUUGCUGCAUCUCCACACAAAUGACAAGUAUUACUGUCAUCAUUCUUUCUUCCUUGGUGUUUAACCCGAUAGUCUCACUGGAGUCAUAAUUUAUCAAUUGCUAGAAGCGCUGUGGGAUAUAGAUGGUAUGAAUCAAAUACAGCGAUGGCUGAGGUAAAGCUGUCUGGGCUUGAAAGCUGUGAUAGAGGCAGUUUCCAGGGAGGCUUGAGGUAUUUAAGUUGCCAACUGUUUGUAAGAAAAUCUCUCCGGCAGCUGGAGGAUGUAAUCUGAAGAGCACUUCCAAAUUUAGUAGAGGCUUCCAGUCGGACAGCUUUAACCGAGCUGUACGUUUAGGGUAAGGCCACUACUUGCCUUGGUGUGACUUAGCGAAAUCCUUUUGGAUGGCCUGGCUCUCAGCACAACAUGCAGAGCCCGCGAUGAGGAGCAGACUGGCCAAGUUGGUUCAUGUCUGGGACAGCUUUGAGCAGCACAAGGAUGAGGAAAGCAUCAGCUUGUUCCUCUGCUCAGUGUUGUGCUGGUACCAAAUUCCCUGUCCCAACUGGAGAGUGACUGGGACACUUUUCCUGUGCCCAAGCAGAACUUCCCUCCGUGUGACACCCAGGGAAAUUGGCAGUGUUAUUUCUGAUGCAAAGCACUACUGGAACGUAAGGAAGAAAUUAAUCAACCCGUCCUGAUUCUCAAAUAUGCUGAAUUUACCACAACUUCCACUGAUGUUAUGGGUAGCCAGGCCUCAGAAGCCUCAAAAAUGUCUGUGUAAUUUUUUCAUAGCAAGGCUGUGGGCCAGCCAGCAGGGCUCAGACCUGAUGGUCUUGACUGUUUCAGGAUGUACAGCAGCAUGGAGGCCCUGAGGCAGGGUGGCCUCAUUUUCUUCUCUAACUGUAGUAUAAAAUAUUCUCUUGUCAUCAGCUGGUUAGUACACUUGUAUUUACCAACCAUGUGUGUGGCUCCUGAUGGUGGCUAGUCAGAAACAGCCACCCUUUCACUGGCAGCAAUAUUCGCACUGAAUGUGCAAAACCUGGCCACCUGCUGAUUUGGCUAUUUUUUUCCUGCAUCUUGCAUGUAUAUUUGUUUUAUUCUUUAGCCACGGGAAAUCAUCUCAGUAGAAAUAUUGCCCACACUGCAGCUUUGACUGGAUAAAAGAGAAGUGAAAAAUAUGGGCAGCUAAAUAGAUUUUCCCUGACUCACCCCUUGCUCACUGAAUGGAAAGCCAAAGCUUUCUGGACACAGAUGUUUUUUUGUAAUAUAAAUGGGAUCCUAACAAUGUUUCUGAGUCAGAACAGAGGCAGGGAUGGGCAUAUGCAGAACGCUUUGCAGAAACUGUGGCUGAUAGGUGGCACCGCCAGCAGGACUGCCCAGAAAAGAGGAGAGACCUCACCCACCCCAAGCUCAGUGAUAAAGGCUUGGAGAAACAAUCAGCAAGCCUUUGAGCAGUUUUGCAAGGCAUCUUCAGUAUGGAAAAGAAGGUCCCCAAACAGGGUAAACAUCACCAUGAAGAAGCUCUGUGCGACCCACUUGCGGGGACAGCUGACGCAUAUCCCUGUGCUGGCACGGCAGGAGGGCCGAGCAACCUGUUAGAAAGGAAGAUGGGAAACAGCAGGAGAAGAGCAAUGUUUUAAGGUGGAGAGUGAAGGAUACAAUACACAAUCAACUGAAUACUUUCUUAUAACUUUUUGCCAGCAGAUUCUCUGUUUCCUUUCCUCUCUUCAUUUAAUUUAAUGUCCAAGUCUCGGAGCUGGCUGAGGAACCCUGUGUUUGGGCAGAUGUUUCUGUGAGAACCCACUGUUUUCAGAGCAUCCACGAGUGUCAUGUUUUUGUGGAUCAUCAAAAAGGCAAGCACUAAGGAUGCAGAGCGGCUUACCCCCAUGGCACAAUGCACAAACACUUUACCUGCAGAAAGAAGAGACAUGAGACCCAGGAGGCUCAGUCCAGCCCGAAGCAGAACUCUAUCAAGAGCAAGAGUUCAAAGGCAUCCAAGGAGGCCCUUCUCUGAGACUUUAGGAGCAUUCCCCUGCCAGGAUCUCAUUAUCUGGAAUUGCUGUUCUCGCCUCCAGAGAACAUUGAUGAGCUUUGUUUGGUUGCUUGUUGGUAUUAAAGCCAUUAUCAAUGUGGGAGCCACAUGAGAACUUGUUCCCAAAGUGAGAACGUUAAGCUGGAGCAGUAGAAGGAAAUCAAGAGCUCCUACAUCUGGAGAUUCAGAAGACCAUGGACUAAUUUCCAAGGAGCAUGUAUGACUCUCAGACGCUGCAGAUGUUAAAAAGCUGAAGUUGUGGAGGUAGUGCUUAACACUAUGGCUCUUUGUCCUCCUGAUGGAAAAAUCCAGAUGGAAAGAAGCGUGGUUCACAGGGAAAUGAUCGUCCUGAGCUAAUCUCUGGAGCUGAUGGAGGCAAGGUGCUCGCUGGGUGCAGAGGGGAGCAAUUAGGGAGUUUUGUAAUGGGACCAGACCUUCCAUCCAUAAUUAAAAGCAUCACAAAGUUUAGGAAGUAGUUAAUCUGUGGAAGGCCAAAAGCUGGAGGCGAUGCAGCGGAAGAAUCACUCCUACAUCGUCCAGCUACUUAUGCUCUCUUCCCCUAGACACUGCUCUGGGCUGAUGGAGAAGAUCAGCUAACCAGACCUUCAGGUCUAACCUGCCUUGGCACCUUUUCCAUGUGUCUUAUGAAAGAGGUGUCUACAAUACCCAUUACUAACUAUUGAAUUAUAUAACAUGGGCACUAAACAUACCGCAUCUGCUUCCCAGACUGUGAGGAACAUUUAUCACUAUGAAGGAAGAUUCAUUUCUUAGCACCAGCAAGGAGGAGGAUGACAAAGGAUUGGGAGUGGAGAAGGAAAAGAAAAAUGUUUAAAAGCAACUUUCAACUGUUGUGGUGAUGAGGAAAAACAGCUGAAGACAGAUGCCUUUCACCUGGACAGCAACACCCUCGCCCAAUGAGAUGAUGCUAAGACACAUCCCAGUGCCCUCCUCCCUCAGGAUUCUGAUCCUACUUGGCUUUUUAAGGUAUCAUGCUUUAUAUUGUUCUGUUUGGUAAAAGGACUUUGUUCCCAGGUUGGUUCUGUGCUUAGCAGCAGGAAUCAGCUUCACCUUGUGAGGAAAGCAAGUGAUGGAAGCUCUGUGGCUACUGGCAACACCACAAGCGCACUGACAGCAUCCAGAACCCUUCUUUUGUCCACCUCAGUCACAGGGUCCCACCUGCUAUUUGGAAGUGGAUUAAGCCUUACUGAAAAUGAGUAAGCUUAACAGAAAACAAAAUGACUUUGAAUCUGCCUCAUCUAGAAUGUCCUUCAACCUGGGUCCUUUUGCUACACUUCAAACAACUGAUCAUCUCAAUCAAAGCUCCCUCCAGGAUAUACUGAAUCCUCUUCUGGAGACAAGAAGAUACACUCCGGUCAUUGUAGUGGGCCAUAUGUGAUGGACACUGACUUGGAUGUAGUUUUGUGGACCACUCCUUAUCUUUCAGGAUGCUGCUAUCCUCUCUCUAACCAUGGAGACAAUAUCUGAGCAUGCAUCUGAGCCUGGGCAGGAAGUCCUGUGUACCUGUUUGCUUCAGGGGAGAUGGAAGGUAAGCAGCUCCUCGUCAGGCUGGGUCCCCAGCAUUGAUGGUUCCUUCAGGGUUAUGGGAAACUACAGGGGCACCUUGGGUGAACCUGGGUGCUUUGGUUCAGCAGGUUCAACUUAUCUUCAGCUACUGAAGCAUCUUCCCAAGUGGGAUUCUCCCUCAAUGAGGAGUUAAUGUUCAGUGCAUCGUGCAUCUCUCCUGCAUCGUGCAGCCCCUGUUGUCGUGUGCAUAUUCUAAACAAAGUGCCACUGGUGAGGCAGUGUUUUGCUUUUAUUUUGGCUCCUCAGCUUAACUUGCCAAACCAAUAUUCAAAAUACAAGUUUUUUGGCUGAUAGAGGAAAACAGGGAAGUACUAAUGUUGUGUCACAUCACGACCUGAGCUAUGGAUAAUGUAAGGGACUGGUGAGGUCUCUUUUCCUCCUAGCAAGUCAAAGCAGUGUUUGCUGUUUCAAGAAGUUACAGGACUAAUUUUACAGCUUUUACAUAUGUUGAUGGGAAUCUUUUUCCCUGCGCAGAGCUGGAGCCAAAGGUGCACAGUAUAUAAAGAAGGGAGCAAUAUUGCAGGCAGGAAAUUUAGGCAACACAACCUCUGCAGAUUAAAAACACUUCUGUGAUUUACCACUGCCCUUGAAAAGAGUUUCUAACUAUUUUUUUCUAUCCACUGGGGUAAGUAAGUCUUGCUGUACAAAAUCACUACCGUGUCCCUGAUGGAAUGGAUGCUAUACUGGCUCAACUUCGGUCUACAGUUCUGUACCCCUUGUGAAACAAAAUUCUCAAAGGAGGAGUAGUAUCUAAGAGAGCAGGUACUAAUUUACAACAAGAGCAGCUUUCACAGCUGUGGCUUUGUGGGACAGAUGUUCAGGGGCAUGCAAAGCAUUAUCCUGAUGGGAGGUUCCAUCAAUCUUGCUCACACGUGUCUAAUUUUGCCCAGCCUAAAGCCAUUAAGAUGCAUUAUUUCACUCACAUCAAUUCCAGACUUUUCAGUGCCAUGUCUUCAAAAGGCUUCAAGACUGAAAUCUACUGUAAUGUGAAUGAAGUAUAAAUUACAAUGAAAUAUUAACUCGUGUAAAUCCUUAUUAAUGCUAAUGGAGAUCUUCAAAGCAAACCCAGCUCCUCCUCCGCUGCUCUGCUACUUUGUGAGGUAUAAAGAUUGUGCUAGCACUGUUGGGUUUUAAAUGUGAUUUUCUAUUUGAUCUUUUUAUGUUACAAAAUUUUCUCUUUGUUGCCAGUGGAGCUCUUUGGCAAGAUUUAGGAAAAUCUGAACAGACAGUCAAAUAGACCUCUAAAAGGAUCUUAAAUAUGCUUAUUUUGCUAUGUGUACAUUGAAAUAGGGAUUUCUACAUUCCCAUAAGCACUAGGCCAAAUCAGCAUCUGUGUCUCAGCCUGUCCAAGAAUUAAGGGUGAUAGGUGUGGGAAGGAGGUCUGGGAAGGAAGAACAACAACCCACAAGUCACCACCAUUUAAGUUUUGUAAUAACUUUGCAAGCCGUCUCCAGCAGAGAGGCAAUGAUGAGGCCUGAUGCUUCAAGCAAGCAGAAAUGUAUUUACUCAAUCUGGCAGAGAAAGUUUAUAAGGUCAUCUAAUCAAUAAAUCAACCUAGUAGCAAAGGGCAAAAAUAGAUUUGAUUAUUGCUUCAUGGUUCACCACAAGGUAACAAGGUAAUUUUCAGGGAGAAUGGUAGCAUGAAUUUCAAAUGCAGUUUCUGUAUUAAAAAUUGUGUUGGUUUAAGUAACUGAUUAACUGGUCAUAGGAAAAGUGACAACCUCUAAACAACCUAAAACUAAUUUGUAUCAAUUAAGCCGAGCUAUUUAUUUAAGCUAACUCAGUUCCCUGCUGAAUUUAGAAAAUAGCAAUGUAAGAUGGGCCUAAAUCAAAUUAAGGGCAUGCAGGCAGGCAGGGAGUCUGUCAGUCUGGUUUUUUAGGCUUAUUUUAAGUUGAAGCUUUGAAAUCUGGAACAUAGACAAGAUACCACAUUCAGGUGUCAGCACCGUUACGCAGAGAUGGAUGGAAAGCAAUACUUGGAUUUCCUGGAUCUUUGACACUUUCUUUCUCUGGACUAAUCCUUUGUGAAGGAAGAGGCCAGAGAGAGCAGAUAAUAUUUAGGCUUAAACCUGAGAAGUUGAAAGGAACAGGAUAAAUGCAGGAGGACUGGCAGAGGAGGAAGAUGUUCUUGCUCAGGUUCAAGCUGCUGGUGUGCCGGAGGAGUUGCCGGCCAUGGAGCUCAGCAAUUCCCUUGCAGACUGAGGGGUAAGGAGCAGAGAGAUGGUGCAAAAUAAGCACUUCACAUAUUAAAACCAAAAUUACUCCUUAUACACGUCUUUUAUGGAUUUAACAUCCACAGGCCCUUAGCAUAAUCUGCAUUUAUUGUGGGCAAGAGCUUGGAAACACACAGUGGGGAACAGGCAAACACAUGCCAGUAGCUCCUCAGUAAUGACGAAUGCCCGGGUUCCUACCUGAUGUUAAACCAAAAAUGAUUCAAAGCCACUUACACAAAACUGAUGAAUUUACACUUACAAAAUACCUUGAAAAUCUGUCUUCUUUUUUAAUGUCUUCAAUAUAGUACAUAAUAUACAGUAUCUUGUUGAAAACAUAUUUACACAAGAAAAGGCUUGUGGGUUUGCUGACCCUGAGACUGCAUAGGGAGCUGUGCAGAGGAAGUUUAUUCUGUUGGUGUGGGUGUUCAGGCUGCCACAGCUUUCUGUGGCACUGCAACACUGAGGAGACUGGCGGAAGAGGAAGGUGUCUGCAGCAGUGCUUGGGCUUCUGACCAAUUGCCCUCAUCACACCACCAGGCCUGCAACACGACAAGCUUUUCAUAUGAAAACUACAACCAAACUGAAGGUCAUUUUACACUCUUUAGUAAAGGGGACUCAAACAUACUGUACCGCUAGAUGCAAUUAUUGAACUUGUCUCUGGUAUUAGCACAAGUGGGGAACAACCUCAGUCCAUCCUAACUGCUCCAGGGGAGUCAUUUGGUAGUACCACGCUGGGCGCAGGAGCUCUGCAGCAUGUGGUACUUAUGGGGCUGAUGUUGGCAGUGCUCGUCUACGAGGAACUGAGCCACCAAAAUUGAUCCAUUGGCAGUUCUGUUGAUUUUUUUUUUUCUUUGAUGGGUUCCAUAACUCUUAAUUCUUUCAGUAUGCACUGAUCAUGGGAAGUAUUGUAGGCACAUUGAUUAUGAAGGCUGAAAAUCUGAAUGCAAAGGGAUUUGCCCUUUCAGCAGCCCUUCUUUUGCCGUAGCUGAACAUCCAGAUUUCGCAGGUGUUUCAGAAAGCCACGAUUGGGUGAAAUCCAUCGAUGUUCCUUCACUGUUUUGAUGGCUUCAAUCAAUGGGAGGUGGUGAUUUAUCAUGAGAUAUGCUAGGACAAGGGAAGCUGACCUGCUUACUCCAACUGCACAAUGUACCAAAAUUUUAGCUGGUCAAAAAAGGGGAAAAAAAAAAGGCAAAUUAUAACCAUAAAGGUGAAGUAGCACAGAGGAUGAAGUUGAAUUUAAAGGGAAGACAAACCCCUCCUGUAUUCUCCAGUGUGGUCAGAGCAACACAGCAAACAAUUUAUUUUCUACCCUUUCAAUAGACCGCAUGAACUGCUAACAGUAAAGUCUAAUUUGUAACUGUUCCAGCAACUUGAAUGAGCAGUGCCAUGAGGUCACAACCUGAUUUCAGAAACACUGGUAAAUCAAAGAAAACCCUGUGGAAGCACUGAUGUUGUUCUGUUGUGAACAAGAGGAAAACCAGACCCAUUGCUUUCAGAGGGGCUCACUAAGGUGAAGAAGAAUGCUACAAUAUGGCCUGAAAGGAUGGCACUAACACAUUAGCCACCAAGAAAAACGACUGGCCUAGUACUAUUGCAUAAUAAGGCAAUUUGCUGUGGCUGUAUUUCUUUUUUGAAGGCUGAGCGUGUGAGACAGACUGAGGUAGAUCCAUUAAUGCCAGUUUACUCAUGCUAAGGAAUAAUCUUUUAUGUAAUAGAUGCUAAUUAGUAUUUUAUAGCACCAGUGCCAAGACGCUCAAUCUCUUGUGCAACGUGUCAUAAAUCUCCUUGGGUAAAGGUGCGUCUCCUGCUAAGUCGCAUGCUCUGCAGGCCCUAUUCACACAGGGUGAACAUCUGCAGCGUAUGGGCCUCUUCACAUGUCGUGUAGCUGGAGAAAUCAGGACUUGUGACUCUAUUCAUGUGUUCUUACAAAUACAGUUGUCACAAGAGGAUCUCAGAAGACUAGACCAGAUAAAACUGUGUCCAUAUCAAAUGCGUGUUUUUUUCUUUUCCUUGUUUGAAUAAGCCUUUCUUUCCAGAUAUUUUUCCCUCUCCUCCUUGUCCUCUCCUCCUCAGUCUCUCUUGUUCACUGUCCAUCCUUUUUCUCACGUCAACUUUUUGCAGUCUUCCUUGAUCUUUGGGACCAAGCUAGAGCUAUGCGUGUGCUCAGCACACCCUCCCCUCACCCCCCACCAGGCAGGUGACCAGCAGUCCGCACGCUGACUCAUCCACCACUGAGCUUGUGGACCUGACCAGUUAGUUACAAGAGGCUGCCAACACAUCUAAACUGUGAACAGUGAUAAUUUCAUACCUCCUGGCGUGUUCAAGGCUUUGUGGAUAAAUUCUGCCGCAGAGUAAAAGAACUGGCUUAUAUCAAAGCUGGGGAGGUCGUGGGCUGGUACACCAUAAUAAUCAAUGGUAGCUCCGUAAUAGUCCUGGCCUCCGUGGCUGUACGCUGUGCCGUGGGCAGCGUUUAAAACAUGGGUAACGCCCAUCUUCCACAGAAUAAAUCUGUUGUGAGCUGUUACUCUGAGGAAAAGGCCAACACAAACAAAUCAAGAUGGGUACAGAGAUAUUCAGAGGGCAGGAACAGUCCUGCGAUUGCAUCUCCCAAGCCAUGUGCUGGCACAUAAGCCAGCGCAUUGUUCCCGAGGGUUAACAAAGAAGCAAGUAUGCACUCAGUCAUAAUUUUAUCUCAGAAACUUUGCUGUCUGCAGUCUAAAUGACAUUAGUCAGCAAAACCAAGAGCUACUUAAUGCCUGACCGAUUAGGGAUAAUAACAGACUGAAGAGACAGAGCGUACAGCGUGGCGUUAGAGCAAAGUCAGUCCGUGCAGCUUUACUUACAGGUCUCCCAAGAAGAGAUUAGGCCAUACUUCGUCGACGUGGUUACAGGAGGGCCGCCCGGUACUGAGGAGCUGCUCCAGUUCUUUGAGGGAGGGGACGUCUCCUGUGCAUGGCUCGAGGCCCGGGGGGCCCAGUGCCUCUGCCCCGGACAUGCGAGAGCCAGGGCGAGACCCGCUCCCGGCAGCCAGAGGCACCGAGCUGGGCGCUGGGGAGCUGCCAGCACCCGUAGCAGUCACGGGGCACCAGGAGAUGGGCUGGGGCAGGUGCUGGGCCGCAGCUCCUGACACUGUGCCCACGCUGCAACAUCCCCGAGCCCCCUCCCCAGGGCUUGGCCUGGUAGGCACGGGCAGUAGAAACAGACGCCCGAACCUAAUCGUGCCUUGCUGGUUCCAGUCUGCUCCCUGCUGUUCGUCCCCAGACCCAGUCCUUGAGUCCCCAGCCUGCAGGACACCCACCAUCUACCCAGAGAUGUCCAGGAUGGCCCUCAGGGGUGUCCUCAGUGCUGCAGCAGCAGCCAGCAAGGUCUGACUGUUCAUCACAAAGCCAUAAAAGUCCUGAUAAAGUUAAAAUGCAAACCUGUCUGGGGCAAGAUGCAUGGCAGCUAUCUCACAGUAACUCAGUGGCAUUUAAAAGUGUAGCUGCUGAAGGGCUGGGAAUGCAUUGAUGUGUUCUUUCAAUGUGGUCACCAGGAAGCUAAACACCAGGUAGGUUACGACAUCUUGCCUAUCACCAGUAAUCUAGAGAAAUGUUAUUUCUUGAAGGUACUGUUUUUUCACUAAAUGGAAGAAUCCAAGGCUGUUUGUUAUGUUUAGUCUUUUAUAUUGCAGUUGCUGCUUUCAUCAGUGCAUUAAUAUAACAACAUGCCACACGUUGUACCAUGCCUUCCUGUGCUGAAGACAGAGCCAAGAACGUGAGUGUAAUGGUUGUCAGGUGAAACUUGUAAGCCUCUGCAUUAGUUUAUAUAACAAGAUCUGGAAUUCGUAGCUUGGAGGUUUAGUGUGUUAAACUGUCGUAUUAGUGGAUCCUUGUAGGGAUGCUAGUGCUUGUGCUCCUGGCCUGCAGGCUGUGUGACUCCUGGCAGGGGUCUGAAAAACUGCAAUGAAGCCCGUGGGCAAAACGCGUGAAAUGCUGAUGUUCUUCCUUUGUAAGCCUGGCAGCUAAUAUGAAGCUCCUCUACCAAAGCAGUCCAGAAGACACGGUGCUCACAGAAGAGAAGCUUGGUGCUGCUUCCCUCCUCCAUGUUGAAAAAGGGUGGUGAACAGUAGUGAAGCCUUGGUAAGGGCUGACACACCUUUAUUCCACAUGCAUUGCUUUACUGUGAUGGAGAGAGGGAUUAUUUUAUUUUAUUGAAAGAUGUAUCAUAGAGAGCAAUUUGAAAUUGAGUAUCAAUGUCUGGACUAAUUAACUGUGCUUAAGAGCACUCUGGAUGAUAGCUGGCCUGAUUUAGCAGAGGAGAGGACUGCAAAAGUGGUUAAAGUUAUACUUAAGGCAUGUGUUCUUUACAUGUUACUUUGGUCUGAUUUGCUCUUGUUUCUUUCUUUCAGCAAAACAGCUUUUUAAGCUGACUGAUUUGUGUUCAUGAAGCAAGGAAUUUACUGACCCAGCAGGUGAAAACUGUUUAGUUCAGUCUUCUCAGGUUCCUGGGUGGAGGCUCAAGUUGAGGUUUCACUAGCAGUUUUGCUAAUGCAAACCCAGCCCUUUUGUUCCCAAUCAAGUUAUGUCAGAAAGGUAAUGCCUUUGUUUUAUUCUGGCCCUUUUCAGCAUUAAAACUUUUAUUGGCCUCUACCUCGAAUGCACUGGCUAAGAGCUCAGUGGUACAAAAGCUGAUGAGCAGAAAAAUGUGACCUCCAGAAAAAUGAUCUCUAAACACUGUGUGCCUGCAACAUUGAUAUGGCAUAAGGCCAGCUGCUUCAAAACAGUGUGACUCUAUCAAAACUCUGGCCUUCCACCCUUAGCACCCUCUAAACCUUUAAUAGCUCUGUGAACAUGACUUCGGUGCAGCUGUGUUACUGACUUUUUCUUGCCAAGAGCUGUCAUUGAAAGACGCAGGAGGCAGAGAUCUGCUUUUUGGACAAGCUCCCUUACUAACACAUAGGAUGUAACCUUGCUGAAGGGGCAACCAUUUCUUCCUGUUCACUGUGCACACUCUUGCCUGCUGUUCUGCCCUUGGCACUGGGCUUGGGUGGUUGUGGGAUAUUCUUCUCUUCCCAUGUAGUCACAUAGAAUUUAGCCAUCAGGUCUGUGGGCUGGCACAGGACUAUCAAGCUCUAUUUUACUGGGAUGUGUGUUGGCAUGAAACACUCAAGAGGCUGGAGAUCCUUCUCAGCAGAAGUACCAAUACUCCUAAGAAAAACUAAAGGCUUCUGGUAAAGUUAUUGUGAUAGCAUGCAGGAAAAGGCCACAAUUCUCUUUGUGAAGAAUUGUUGUAGUUUAGUUCAUAUAAAAGCAGCCUCAAUGCAAAUGAUUACAAACAAACAAACAAACAAA